CAAGCCUGAUUCAUGGAGUGUCACGUGACACGCUCAGGUCACGUGAUAAAAUCCGAGACAAAUAAAGUCGAAGCAGAGAGCCGCGUUAUACACGCUUCACCGGGUCCGGUUUUAUUCUGAUAUCUUCACUGGUCUCGUGAAAAUACGCGCAAGAAAGUCUUUCAUGGGUUUGCAUCUGAAUAUUUAAAGAGCGUUAGUUUUGUGGAUCAACAAUCACACACAGAAUGGUGCGUGCGGGUGUCAUCGUGUUAUUAUGUGUGUGUCUGAGUGUGUGUGGCGCUCUGAUUUGUCCUGAUGGAGGGAUGUGUGAAGAUGGAAACACUUGCUGUCAAAUGCCAUCAGGAGGAUACGGCUGCUGCCCGCUACCCAACGUAAGAGUUUACUCAACAAGAC